rnacentral:rRNA from 1 species
ACAUUUUCUAUUACAUUAUAAUAGAUAAAACCUGCUCAAUGAAUAUAUUUUACAUAUUAUUUUAAAUAUAAUUUUAAAAGCCGCAAUUUUUUGUGCUAAGGUAGCAUAAUCAUUUGUUUUUUAAUUAAAAACUAGAAUGAAAGGUAAAACAUUUAAAUUACUUUAUUAAAAUUUAAAUUUUAAUUUAUAUUAAAUAUAAAAAUAUAUUUAUACUUUAAAAAGACGACAAGACCCUAUUAAACUUUACUUAAGUUUAACUGGGGUAGUUAAUAAAUAAAAAUCUUUAAUAAAAUUUAUAAUAAUAGAAAUCUAGUAAAAUUAAAAUAAUCAAGUUACUAUAGGGAUAACAGCGUUAUUUUUCUUAAAAGUUCACAUUAAAAGAAAUGAUUGCGACCUCGAUGUUGAAUUAUAUAUCUUUAUUACGAAACCGUUAUAAAAGUAAGUCUGUUCGACUUUUAAAAUAUUACAUGAU